rnacentral:lncRNA from 1 species
AUGGUGACUGCAGCACUGCCCUGGGCAAUUCCAAUGCUGAGCACCCUUUGGGAAAGGAAUUGUUCCUCAGCUCCAUCUAAACCUGCCCUGCUGCAGCUUGAGGCCAUUUCCUCUUGUUCUAAAUCAGACUUCUUAUCACUGCAAGCUUCCCGCCCUUUGUGGCUUCACUUCUGCUUGUGUAGAACUAAAUGCAGUUUAAUUAGAGGCAGCUUCAUUUAUACAAAGACAUUUGACCUUUCACUCCUACACUUCCAUUCUGAGGGUGCUGAGGCGCUGGCACAGGGUGCCCAGAGAAGCUGUGGCUGCCCCAUCCCUGGCAGUGUUCAAGGCCAGGUUGGACACAGGGCCUUAGAGCAAGCUGCUCUAUGGAAGGUGUCCGUUGGAGCUGGAGGAGCUUUGAGGCCCCUUCCAGCACAAACCAGGCUGGGAUCCUUUGACCUAAACUUCGUCCUUUGUUACCUAAAUCUGCACGCACAGAGGUCACUUCUCGGUGCUGAAGGGGGUGCUGAAGGGGGUGCUGAAGGGGGUGCUGAAGGGGAGGUCACGGAGCUCCGGACACCUCCUGCUCCCCUGCAGUGUCAGCAGGAGGAGGUUUCUCCACCUUCCCUCCCGCGCCAUCCUCUGGUCAGACACGGGAAGCGUCCUCCGGAUGCACUGGAAGUGUGUCCAUGCUUCCAAGGAAAUGAGCAUCUGCUGAACCUGGAAAACAGGAGGAGGUUGAAGGGAAAAGCCCAUCAGUCCCAUCCCCAUGGCCGAAGCGCUCGAGCUUCCACAUCCUGCUGGAAGAAUCCCAUUGGAGCUCCCAAAUGGAGCCAGGCCCUGCUGGGUCUCAGGUCUGCAGCACUCGUGUCAUUGCCAGUCUCUUUAAAAGCUUUUCCAUUAAGAUUUUCCCUCUCAGCGGAGGAUGGAAUUUUCUCCAUCCCCAUGCUGAGUUCAGCCCGGGCUCUCAAUGCCAGCUGUGCUGCUCCUUCCCAUUUGUUCCGGCUCUGCUUUUCAUCCCAAGGGAUUAUGUGUCUCACCAGCAUGGCACCCCACAGAGCGUGA